AGACGAUGAAGCAUCUGAUUUAUCUCUCACUGCUGCUGCCCCUGCUGAUCUGUGGAAAUACAAAGAGCAAGAGAAAACGACUUCAGUCAUGAAAGUAACUGCACUCUUAAUGGAUCACCCACAAUAUUGACAAUUAAAUGCAACAACAAGGCUUGGGAGCUUCAGUGCAGUGGAGAUAAUGAUCAUCUGAAUAUGUCCUUCAGAUGUUCUAAAAACACAGAUUCAUUUCAGUUUAUACUCUCACGUUCAGAAAACCGUUGCUUGAACAUGAAUUGCAAAAAUCUUUUAAAAGAUUCUGAAAAAUCCCCCUGUAAUAACAAGUAAGUUCUGUAUCUGUGAUCUCUAAGCUGUGGUCUGGGGUCAGUUUGACCUACAGAACAAUUUGUGCCUCCAAAGUUUCCCAAGUGCAUUUGGUUUACUAGCCCAGGCGGUUCAAGCAAAUACAAUCUAAAAGAUGACAAUUGGGAUUUCCACUAA